UAGAUUUUAGAAGAACAGAAUAAGGCCGUGUUCACACCAAACCGACUGUGAGCCGCCGAAUGUGAGCAGGCUCACUGUGGGCCACAGUGUGAACGUGUAAAUAUACAGUAUCGAAUGUCCGCGCCUACGCCUAGCGUAAUAGCGUAUUGUCGGUUAGGUGUGAAC